GAACAGGAAAUAGCCCAGCACUGAAUCCCGCCGUUGUAACGGCGGCGGGAGAUGUGGUGUUCGGGAGGUUCCGCUUUCUCGUCGUCGUCUUCUCCUGUCCAAGUUCGUCUUGAACGGGGCCGUUUUCCCGUAGAGGGUGCCAGGCCCGUAGCGACGGAGGAUGGCGGCGAGAGGGACUCUCCUCAGAGUCGGGUUGCUUGAGAGUGCAGCCCUAAGUGGGUGGUAAACUCCAUCUAAGGCUAAAUAUCACCGCGAGACCGAUAGCGAACAAGUACCGUAAGGGAAAGUUGA
rnacentral:rRNA from 1 species